UCCCUGGUGGUCCAGUGGUUAGGAUUCUGUGCUUUUACUACUGAGGGUACAGGUUCAAUCCCUGGUUGUGGAA
rnacentral:tRNA from 1 species